AAACGGUCUGCCAAGGAUUCUAUCUGAGGCCCCGGGGGAGGAGAGAGUUUGGGCCUGCUCGGAGAUCAUUUUGAGAGGGAAUUCACAAAGGGAAUAUUUCCCGGCAACACAACUCGGAGGAGGAGGGAAAAUGAGAAAAUUCCCAAGCCCUAGUCAAAGCCCUUAUUCAACGGACAUAGAAACCUCACCACACGCUUGAGCGAGGGUUUAGCCGGAGAAGCGUCUCACGAGGAGGUCUGACUGGCUGCUUUGAAAGACAGCCCGACCGGAGGAAGAGAAACCAACCGAAGAAAAGCCGCGAUUUGAGAAGGAUUUGGAAGGGGAAGAGAGCUGCGGUCCGGUGGCUUUGGAGAAGGAGGAGAUUCCAGACUGCGAUUUCAUGGUGAGCACGGAGUGCGUCCUCCGACUCCGGUACACUGUGCUCUCCAAAGCGCUUAACACAGUGCUCUCUGCAGACAGUAAGUACUCAAUAAAUGACCGACUGAUCGACUGGCUUGGCCUCCGGGGCAGGGUAGAGCUGUAGAGCGUUGGCUGUCCGCCGGAGUGACUCUGGCCGUAGACAGAGACACCUAAAAAUGUAAAAAACCUCCGUGUGCACCUCUUCUUAAUAUGCUCUCUUGAUGCAUUCUGUGAUCUCGAGGGUCCAGGACUGCCAGGGAAGAGGGAGUGUGAGUUGUACACAGCUUUAGUCCUUCUAUCCUGCAGUGUCUCAGUCCCGAAGCCUUGGGCCACUCGUUGCACCGAAGUAUUAAUGUCCAUUCUCAGCACUUUGGCAUGGAUGCGUAGUUGACUGACCCUUAACCAUUUUUUAAAAGAUGUCCAUCGUUUGUGAAUAUUUUUUAUGUCUGUCACCCUCACUGAGCAGCGUGGCCUAGUGCAGAGAGCGCAGAAGUGGAAGCCGAGGGACGGGGGUGUUAAUCCACCCUUGGCAAGUCACUUAUCGUCUCUGAGCCGCAACUUCUCCUUUGUAAAACGGUGAUUCAGUACCUGUUCUCCUUCCCCUUUGGACUGUGGAGUCUCUGUGGAAUCUGAUCUGAUUGUACCGGAUGGACGCCAGCCAGUUCUUUAGCACGAUAAUGAGGUCACCGAGGCCCGCCCGGAGAAGAGCAGAAACUUGCCCAAAGUCACACGCAAGUGGCGGAGUCACUCACCGAUAAAAAACCAAUGGAUAAGGA